CAUACGCGGCCGCCGCAUCGCUCCUCCUUCUGGCACGCGCCCGUCCGCCGCGCUCAUCCUCCCGGCUACGCGCUCCGCCGCCUCGCUUCUCCAGGCAACUCCCAACGAGACGCACCGCGUGAAGCACACCCAUCUUGUCUGCAGCUUCUUCUCCCUAAUCCACCUCCAUGUAUUCCGUGGCGGAGCUUCUGGAGAUUACUAGCAGAUUUUGGGAGGCGUGGGGAGAAGAGGGAGGAGAAAUACCACUCUGCGGAGAGAGAGGAGCCAGAGUGCCAUCCGCGCGCGGUGACCACCAGGCGGAGAGAGGGGGAUCUGGGCGGCGCCCCUCCUCCGUGCGCCGCGUUCGUGCACGAGCCAGGGACCCGCGCAUCCAUGCAACACGACCUCCUCGCGUGCAGGAGUGGGGGACGCCCAGAUCCGGGUCAACGCCGCCGCGUGAUCCCAAGUGCUCCGACCAACGGAACCAGCCGCGGGACCCUUCACUCGGUCACAUGUCCGUCGCCGAGCUUGGUUGGGGUGGGCGGAAGGGAGGACGGCUGACGGACGAACGGGCGAACUGUUGACAUUCGCCGGCAACGACUCCAGUUCUCGUAUACGAACAAAACAGAGCUCAAGACGGAGUAUUGCCGGUGUACGGAUGAUAGUUUGUUCGGCAGCAUGGACCAUGCCAUGAAAUUUGUGGCAGAAAGAUUCCCAGACUCAUAUGACAAAAAGGUGCAGUACAAAUCAAUACUUACCUGCUCAUGCUGAAAGAAACAAGGGGAGAACACUUGAAAAAAGAGUUGCAAUCAGGAUGAACAAGGGUUUUGUAAAAGAGGAGGCGUCUCAGAGGGCACAUCAAGAUGGAAACUCACUUUUUAGGUGUUAGAUUCGUUGCAGCAGGGCGAGUAGGGGG